UAGGGAAUCUUCGGCAAUGGACGGAAGUCUGACCGAGCAACGCCGCGUGAGUGAAGAAGGUCUUCGGAUCGUAAAGCUCUGUUGUUAGAGAAGAACGUUGGUAGGAGUGGAAAAUCUACCAAGUGACGGUAACUAACCAGAAAGGGACGGCUAACUACGUGCCAGCAGCCGCGGUAAUACGUAGGUCCCGAGCGUUGUCCGGAUUUAUUGGGCGUAAAGCGAGCGCAGGCGGUUCUUUAAGUCUGAAGUUAAAGGCAGUGGCUUAACCAUUGUACGCUUUGGAAACUGGAGGACUUGAGUGCAGAAGGGGAGGGAGAAAUUCCAUGUGUAGCGGUGAAAUGCGUAGAUAUAUGGAGGAACACCGGUGGCGAAAGCGGCUCUCUGGUCUGUAACUGACGCUGAGGCUCGAAAGCGGGGGGAGCAAACAGG
rnacentral:rRNA from 1 species